GCAUCUUCUUGUCUUAAGAGGAAUCUCAGAAGUGUCGCAUACUUCCUGGCCCUCAGUAUGACUCCUUUUUACCAAUUGUGUACUUUUAAUGUCUUUAUCUUUUGGUUGAAGCGCAAUGUCUCUCAGCUUCCUCAUGGUGAUGUGCGACAAUUCAUCCUGGGACAAAUCUUCUGUCACCUAAGCACAGCAUUUGAGCUCUUCUCUACUGAAGACUAUGUUGCCUGGUUUGGAGGAAGGCUCAGCCUCUUCCUAAGCAGCCUCAAUGCACAAAACCUCGGCUUCUUACCCAGUGACAUGACAUGCAACUCUCUUGCAGCCAUAGUGAAGACCCUGAACGAACACAAAGCCCAAGGGCCCUAUGAGAAUCCAGAGCACAUCUACUCCUUCAUAAAGAGAGUUCUUCACUUCCAGCUGCAGAACUCAGGCUGUGCCUGUACCCAGGGCACCACCGCAGACAGGGAAUGGCUGCUACAGUAUUUUGGUUUAUUCACUGCUUUUGGAUCGUACUCAGAUUUUGCAACACUGAAGAGCAACUUCCAUGGGCAUGACUCUCUAGACCUUCUCUCAGCUGAGGCACUGGCCCAGCUGACUGUUCAGAGCAAGACCAUCUACAGCCCCUCAGCCAUCCAGACGGUUCUGGAGGUAAUUGGGAACAAGGAAGAGCCUCUCCAGUAUCUCAGUGUCUUCCUAGAGGACUUCAACACUUUUGUCCUGAAGAGCUCUGAUUUCCUAGGAAGCACUAAGGUUCGGGAAACCAUGUUAAUGAUGACAGCAGAGAUCAUCUUCCCACAAAUUACUGACAUGUCCCUGGAAGACACAUCUACGUGGCUGCACAGACUGCGCGUCCUGCUGCCCCAGGUGAACGCCACGGUGCUGGAGCUGCUGCCCCUCGACAUGCCGUGCCCAUACUACCAAGCUCUGUAAGUGCCUGUGGGGCUGCUUUGGCUUCGUGCUGCUACACGAGCAGUCACUCUUGCAUCACCAGUUACUCAUCAGGCAAGAGCUGCUUUUUACCUUCAUGUUUAGCAUUGGGUAUAACCAGAAUCAGUCAAUUGCUCUGCUUUAAAGGGGGCAUUUCUAUAUGGAAACCAAAUCUUAAUCCUUAAUCUCAAGCAGACCAUAAAUUAUACAGCCCAGCAGAAAACAAAACUGAUUACCCACAUGCUACAGGCCAAGUACUAGCACCUGCCAGCUUUGGUUUGUCAGCGUUGAGAAGUUCUCCUCACCCCUACUACACUGAUCUCUGCUGCUUUAUCCCCAUGGAAAUCCCCAUGGAAAUCUGUUGUAUGGUUUCUUCCCCAGCAUUGCAGCAAUUGAUGGAGUCUACCCAGUGCUGUCAGCAAGGAAGAAGCAUGAUGUGUAUGAGUUUCAGAAGGCCUAUUUGACAGCCCAGUUCACAGACUCAGGUAAGAUGCCUACACACAAAUUCCCAGUAAAACACUAGUAUUUGUAUGGAGCAUCUUUUGUAUUCCAAACAUUGAAGAUUUUU
rnacentral:lncRNA from 1 species